CCUACGGGAUGCAGCAGUGGAGAAUCUUGCACAAUGGGGGCAACCCUGAUGCAGCGACGCCGCGUGGACGAAGAAGGCCCUCUGGGUUGUAAAGUCCUUUUCUGACGGAAGAAGUCAAUAUGUUCUAACAGGGCAUAUUGUUGACGGUACGUUAGGAAGAAGUCACGGCUAACUCCGUGCCAGCAGCCGCGGUAAUACGGAGGUGGCGAAUGUUGCUCGGAAUUACUGGGCGUAAAGGGCGCGCAGGCGGAUGAUCAAGUCAAGAGUGAAAUCUCCAUGCUUAACGUGGAGCUUGCUUUUGAAACUGGUUGUCUGGAGUCAUGUAGGGGAUGACGGAACACCUGGAGUAGCGGUGAAAUGCGUAGAUAUCAGGUGGAACACCGAUGGCGAAGGCUGUCAUCUGGACAAGGACUGACGCUGAGGCGCGAAAGCCGGGGGAGCAAACAGGAUUAGAUACCCUAGUAGUC
rnacentral:rRNA from 1 species